ACGGAAGGCAGCAGUGGGGAAUAUUGGGCAAUGGGCGAAAGCCUGACCCAGCAACGCCGCGUGAAGGAAGACGGUCUUCGGAUUGUAAACUUCUUUUAUGAGGGACGAAGGACGUGACGGUACCUCAUGAAUAAGCCACGGCUAACUACGUGCCAGCAGCCGCGGUAAUACGUAGGUGGCAAGCGUUAUCCGGAUUUACUGGGUGUAAAGGGCGCGUAGGCGGGGAUGCAAGUCAGAUGUGAAAUCUAUGGGCUUAACUCAUAAACUGCAUUUGAAACUGUAUCUCUUGAGGGCUGGAGAGGUAGAUGGAAUUCCUUGUGUAGCGGUUAAAUGCGUAGAUAUAAGGAAGAACACCAGUGGCGAAGGCGAUCUACUGGACAGUAACUUACGCUGAGGCACGAGAGCGUGGGGAGCAAACAGGAUUAGAUACCCUGGUA
rnacentral:rRNA from 1 species